rnacentral:rRNA from 1 species
CUGGCCUCAAGUCGGGCGAGACUACCCGCUGAAUUUAA